rnacentral:rRNA from 1 species
UACGAAGGGGGCUAGCGUUGUUCGGAAUUACUGGGCGUAAAGCGCACGUAGGCGGAUAUUUUAAGUCAGGGGUGAAAUCCCGGGGGCUCAACCCCGGAACUGCCUUUUGAUACUGGGGUAUCUCGAGUCCGAGAGAGGUGAGUGGAAUUCCGAGUGUAGAGGUGAAAUUCGUAGAUAUUCGGGAGAACACCAGUGGCGAAGGCGGCUCACUGGCUCGGUACUGACGCUGAGGUGCGAAAGUGUGGGGAGCAAACAGG